rnacentral:rRNA from 1 species
UACGAAGGGGGCUAGCGUUGUUCGGAUUUACUGGGCGUAAAGCGCGCGUAGGCGGCUACCUAAGUCGGAUGUGAAAGCCCCUGGCUUAACUGGGGAAGUGCACCCGAAACUGGGUAGCUAGAGUGCAAAAGAGGGUCGCGGAAUUCCCGGUGUAGAGGUGAAAUUCGUAGAUAUCGGGAGGAACACCGGUGGCGAAGGCGGCGACCUGGGUUGACACUGACGCUGAGGCGCGAAAGUGUGGGGAGCGAACAGG